UUCUCCUCAUCCCCAAAUUCAAGUCUAACCCAAAACCAUAGAGCUGAAAUCAUUUGCCAGUACUGACCAUUGCUGUUUCAACAUAUUGAUGGUCAGGCAACAGCAGAUUAAGGGGAGCAAGGAGGGCAAAUGAAAUUCCGGAAACUUUGUAAACUUCUCUUACAUAGAAGAGGAAAGAAGUGGUUAUUAUCUAUGGGUGAUGAAAGAGAAAGGCGAUGAGGAAUAUCAGGAAAAAGCCAUUGAAGUUGACGCUGAUGGUUCCGCAGAUGGCAUUAUCACUGUAAACGGGAAUGAGGAUGAGGAAUGAAGUUUUUGUUUGUUCCUAUUACGAUUAAUAAUUCACUGUGAAUAAAAAAGUGAUGAAGUUUUUGUUUGUUCCUAUUAUUCCCUGCUUAUACAAUAGUAGAGAAUUUUUUAUUUCUUAAUUGGGAUUAGCAUUGUUGAUUGAAGUUUAUUAAUGUUGAAACAUUUUAAUAUUUUUGUUCA